AAAGGGAGACCUAAUUCGGGUAGGAGACGAAAAAAAAGUAGUCCCUACCAAGAAUCAAUCCCAAAAGGUCGGAACGAGGUAUGUGGCUUUCAAACUAGGUUCUGGGUUCAUAAAAGACCUGAAUCAGGAAUAAGGGCUAUUAGCUCAGGUGGUUAGAGCGCACCCCUGAUAAGGGUGAGGUCCCUGGUUCGAGUCCAGGAUGGCCCACCUGCACAGGUGGCAAAAACAAGAGAAACGAGGAAUCAGCACCUUAUCUUACUCAUAUAGUAGGAGAGAAUGCUGGCUCUGAGUACAGAGUCCAGAGGAACCUUGAAAACUGCAUAGAGCUAGGUGAAAAAGCCAAAAAAGAAGACCGCAAG
rnacentral:tRNA from 1 species